rnacentral:lncRNA from 1 species
GUGUAUAGGCUGCGAGUCAUUGUGCCAUCGGAAGGGGGGCUCUAUAUCUGCGCGCAAAGGAAACCUUGCGGCCCUAAUAUGUUAGACGAACUUUUGAAAGGCUUCAUAGUGAUCUCUGCCGACCUCCCUAGGAAGGGGGUUAAGAGACUAGCUACCUCGGGCGAAAGGGUAAAUCACGACUCAUGGGUAAAGAUGUACAACCUCUGCAGAGUGUUAAACCUUGGUAUUGGCUAUCUAAAUCUAAACAUGCUAUCUACAUAUAAAAGCUAAAAGCAGUCAAACCAGUGUCAGCUAUUUGAGCCUCAUGAACCCCUGGUUAUACUUGUUGAGUUCGACAUGGACUCACUCAUGCUAUUUCCCACCACUCCAGUUUACUAGUAAGAGUUAUCAGAGGAGCGAAGGAGUUACGAAGGACGUUCUCACGAUACGAGAAGUGCUAGGCAUAUGUUACCCCCAGUCAACCGUCCCUGUGAAGAUUGAGUCUGAAGAUUAGUUACCUUUCCACGAUACUCUGAUGUAAGUGUUAAUUAUAAGUAUAUUUUCGCUAUAUAACAUUGUUUUUGAUACUAUUGCUUCUGUUGUUGUAUGUGUGGACUUCCUGGGCACAUAUAUGGCUAGCCUGGUUUUGUUCUUAAAAAUCGGGUGUGACAGAUCGGGAGUAUAUGUAUCACUAGCGUUUGCAGUUAGAGCAACUCGAAGUUACUUUCUAUAUCCUCUUAAUUGCUAGGAAUAGAUAUUUUAUGAAAAAAAUACACUCCAAUAAUUUCUUUAUUUAGUUAUCCAAAUAUAUAGUCAUCUUUUAUUCUGGGUUUCUUUGUUGCCAAAGAUAUAAAUGAGAAUGGCUGACCUUGGUAGUGUUUGGUAGACAAUCACCUCCAAAAAUAGACCAUUUUUUGAGGCACUUGUCUUAAAAUGACCGUCUCCAUAAAUCAAUUUUAGGAGGUAGUUAUUUUUUGACCCUCGUUAAUCGUUCAGUAUUUUUGGAGACAGUAGGUUUUGUCACCGUUUUGGUUAAUGUUUGGGCAUUGUCUUGCAAAAUCAUUUGUGUAGUAAUGGAGUCAUCUCUAGGUGAGAUGGGUGGGCAUGUGCCCAAUAAGAGGAGCGUGAGGAAGAAGGGAAGCAGUUGUUAGCAUUGACAAAGAAGGCACUAGUACAGAGAAGGGCUUUAGCCCCGGGCCGUAAGAGCCUUUAGUCCCGCCUACGGAACCGGGGCUAAGGUUUCGAGACUAAAUGUUCCACCUUUAGUCCCGGUUGGUAACAGCAACCGGGACUAAAAGGUGCGCCAAGGUGUGCCACCUGGCCUCCACUUUUAGUCCCGGUUGUUGCUACCAACUGGGACUAAAGACUUUUUUCUUUUUUUUUCUUUUCAUUUGGUUUUCCAUUUAGGGUUUACAAUUAUGUUAUUGUUAUUUUCGAAUGCGUAUUGUUUGCUGGUAGUUUAUGGAACGCGCACUUAUAAUUUAUAUAAUUUAAAGCAUUACAUAGAAAUAUACUAUAAAACACUAUAUAUAUAUAUAAAUAAUAUGUAUCUAUAGGUCCAUAAUAUAAUAUUUACACAUAUGCUUCACGGACAAAGUAUUUACAACACACUGGUUUCAUUGGCUCCUGAUGGUUGAAGUAGCACUCGUCGCCGGGAUUCAGGACUUGGUCGUUAAGAAAUCCUGCGAUUGUCUCCUGAAUUCCUUUUAGGCGCACCGCAUCCAACACCUGCUCCUUCAGCCACAUCUCCUUUAAUAGACAUUAAAGAAAAAAGUUAGAGGUAUGAAUAGGAUUUAUUAAAUAGCAACAAAUAAAUGAAAUAAACUUAUUAUAUAUACAUGUUAUAUACUUUUAGGUGCUCAAGAUUAGUUAUUUUGGCAUACACUGUCAUAAACUCGCACACAUAGUAGCCACACAAAUUGUUGCCCGGUGUCUGCCGUAGAACCCACUGAAGUAAGAUGGGCUUUGAAAGUGCUGCAUUCAACUCUGGACGGUGUUUCUGCACGAACCCAGCCCAAACCCUAGCAAUAAAACGGUCAUUAUUAAUUAUCCAUUACCAAGUUAAAAGAGUAGAAUUUAAUAUAUAGAGAUCGGAGUUACCCUUGGAUAAUAUCUAUCAUUUCUUGGUAAUCGUCCUGUGGUCUUCUCAAUGAGUCAUAGAUUACCAAUUGACAUUGCUAGAGAUCAAUGACAAUUAGUAUCCAAUGAAAGCUGCAUUUGUGUGCAUAUGUAGGCAAAAUUUGUAUAUAUCUUCAUAUUGAUCUGAUUAAUUAGUUAAAUAUAAUGUACACACGAUAACGACACUUACUUAAAGUUGUAGGGAAAGAGUAUAUAUCUUUUAUCUUUUUGGUUGAUCAAGAACCUCCGUAGAUUUCUCUCCGUUUGAGUUCUCCAUAAGACAUACGGGGUCUUGUGGUCUUUGAAUACAACAUUUGGAUCCACAAAUCCAAUCUUCUUGUCAUUUCUAACUCUGAGGUCCCUCAUCAUGUUUCUGCAUAUGUAUAGCGGGUUUCUAUAAUUAGUUAUAUAUAUAUACAUGAUAAGUUACAGAGACAUUAUUGAAAGGAAGAAUCACUUACAGACAGAAGCAACUCAUUAGAGAUUUGUCAAGAGCGUCCAUGUGGCAUAGUUGCUGUAGCUCAUUAAAUUGAACAUAAAUAAUAUCAUCGCCACGGAAGUAAU